GGCCGUGAGCGGCGUCAGCAUGCGUCUGGGGCUCCGCUGCACACACACCACACAAUCACAAACACACUCCGACCUAUACAAGGCUUCCUACCAGUGGCCCUGCUUCACAAAACUGAACAUCUGGAGCAGUUUAUCACAGGGCAAAAUCAACCCGUGGCAACAAAAGUAGUCCAAUUCCGUAGAAAGAAAAUGUGGACUUGGCAAACCCUGCAUCCAACACGAGCUGCAGGAGUCAGAUCUGACUGAUCGCGGGUGGAGAGCGAGGAGAGGUGACUGACAGUGCUGGAGGAUUUGCUGCUCAACAGAUCCUGAGCUCAUUGACAAAUGUGACCCUGGGCCACAAAACCAGUCAUAAGGGUACAUUUUUUUAAAAUUUAGAUUUAUACAUCAUGAAAGCCGAAUAAAUCAGCUUUCCAUUGAUGUAUGGUUUGUUAGGAUCGGACAAUAUUUGGCUGAGAUACAACUAUUUGAAAGUCUGGAAUCUGAGGGAGCAAAAAAAUCUAAAUAUUGAGAAAAUCACCUUUAAAGUUGUUCAAAUGAAGUUCUUAGCAAUGCAUAUUACUAAUCAGAAAUGAAGUUUUGAUAUAUUCACGGUAGGAAAUGUACUAGAAUAUCUUCAUGGAACAUGAUCUUUACUUAAUAUCCUAAUGAUUUUUUCAUAAAAGAAUAAUGUAUAAUUUUGACCCAUAUAAUGUAUUGUUGGCUAUUGCUACAAAUAUAGCUGUGCUGCUUAUGACUGCUUCUGUGCUGCAGGAUCACAUAUAUCUGAUCUCGUAAGAUGUGCUCCUCUACACUGAGUGCGUGAGAUCGCCAAAUCCACAGUGAAAGUGAACAGUGAACGCUCAUUCGAAAGCGAUUUCAGUAUCCCGCAUACUGAUAGUGCAAAAAUUAUAAUGUUUGUGGGAACGGGCGGUAACGGUCUGACAUUCAGCUGCUUUGAAGUGAGCAAAGUGGCCAUAUUUUCCAUAUUUUCACUUCAUGAUACUGGUAGGCGGAGUGUGUGUAAGGCUGGGCAAGGCUUAAGGAAAUUAACAGGGGCUUGGGGAAAAUGCCACCAAAAAUUCCUCUGUACAACUUAACUAAAUCUAAUACAGCUGUCGAAUAAAGUGAAAAUGAAAUAAAGUGGCAUUAAAUUUAGAUCUGCUGAUGUUUGCAUUGUAACCAAUUACACACGAUUCUGUUGAGUUCAUGAAUGCAACGACCAAUCAGAGGCGUUCAGAUGAGUCCUCGCUGAAACACCGGAGUUUUGUUCAGUGCAUGCGCUCGCGACCUGAAUUCUCUCAUCAUAAACAACAAAGUGAAGAUGUAAGUAAGAGAUUCACAGCUUUGCUGAUUAUUAUACCGGGAGUUGUUUUGAGAGUGCUUAAACUCACACUAGACUGAAGUCAGUCAUAAUAAUGAAGACAAGACAAAAAUAUGAAUCAUAGCCUAUUUAAACAAACCCAAAAAAUAAAAAUGUACGAAGAGAGAGAGUAAAAGAAAUGUGCCAAGUUUGUUAUUACAGAUUUUUGUGGAGAAAUGUCUUUGUCCAUCAAUUAAAGUAAAUGAUCAGUAUGUGUACAAGUAAAUGAAUUGAAAAUAGUAUGCUUUACUCAUUCCUCACCUGCAGCAGCUGCAGCAGCAGAUCCACGCCGCCGCCGGCCACGAACGCAUCCUCCGUCCCGAAGCAGCCCACCACACACGACC